UUUUAAUGAGCUCCCGGGAGACUGUGAUACAGAUGGGCCCAAAAGUACUUGGAGAAAGGCCGCCUUUUGCCUCACCAGUCCCCUCGGGAGAACUUUCCGAGGACCAGGUUUGACUUCUGCUUUACUCUUUAUGUGUCCAGACUAGAGACUUUAACGGUGAAUUCCUGGGUCCCGCUCAGGAAGCUGGGAGCUUGAUGGCCAUCCAAAACUAACGGGCCUGGAACUUAUUAAGCAGAAUUCUUUGGCUUGGAAUUCAGGCCGAAGUUGUUCAUGUGGCUGAGGUAGUUAGUCCUCACUGGGAUUUUCUGCCCCAAAACAAAUGAUGUAGGAAUGUACACAAAUGGUGAGAAGUCCUCA